GAUGACCAUAGAUCGGAGUCUGGUAGCUGCGAUGAGCAGCGGGAUGGUUGUGGCAAUGACACCCCGGGCGCAGCCGCCGUCGGAGAUGAUUCCGACUUGUACGGGUCAUCCUCGACCGCUCUGCCCGGAGAUCCACCCGCGCCAACAUCACGCAUCUCCUUGAAGCAUGCAGUCAGUGUAAUUCAGACCUUUGAUGACUACAAGAAGUGGUUAGUAGAGCAGAUUGGGUUUGGAGGUAUGCUGAAGCUGCCAGCACUUCAGAAGCUGAGUCUGAAGACCAGCGCAUGGAUUAUGAGUAGAGUUAGUGUCAGCCGCAGGGAGAUUAAAUUGAGGGACAACAAGGUUCUUAAGUUUUACCCUGAGGAUUUCUACAAGGUUUUUGGGAUUCCAUGCGGCCACCGUAGUGUGAAGGGUAGGGAUGCAAACAUCAAUCCUGAGGCUAUUCAUUUUAUAAAGUCAACACUCCAGAUGAACAAAACUGGAGUACACAGCUUGAGAGCAGCUAAAGAUUUUCUGAUGUGUGAAAUCAAUGAGAAUUCAAGCAAACUAGAGAAAGAUUGUUUCCAGAUCGCAUUUGUGAUCUUUGUGAUGGGUCAUGUGCUAGUUCCAACCACGUAGCAUAACUACACGACCAUUGACUUUUGGGGAGCCAUAGCAAACACCGAACCAAUCGAUCAAUUUAAUUGGUGUGAGUAUGUCCUUGAGCACCUUUUCGAUGCAGUCAAGAAUCUUAAGAGAGACAUGACGGCCAACAAUUUAUCGACCAAACUAACUGGCCGGUUGUCAUCUUAUUUUCAGGCAAGUUGA
rnacentral:rRNA from 1 species